rnacentral:sRNA from 1 species
UGAAACUGGUGGCAUUAUCGGCAUGG